rnacentral:rRNA from 1 species
AGUGAACGCUGGCGGUAGGCCUAACACAUGCAAGUCGAACGGCAGCACAGUAAGAGCUUGCUCUUACGGGUGGCGAGUGGCGGACGGGUGAGGAAUACAUCGGAAUCUACUUUUUCGUGGGGGAUAACGUAGGGAAACUUACGCUAAUACCGCAUACGACCUACGGGUGAAAGCAGGGGAUCUUCGGACCUUGCGCGAUUGAAUGAGCCGAUGUCGGAUUAGCUAGUUGGCGGGGUAAAGGCCCACCAAGGCGACGAUCCGUAGCUGGUCUGAGAGGAUGAUCAGCCACACUGGAACUGAGACACGGUCCAGCCUCCUACGGGAGGCAGCAGUGGGGAAUAUUGGACAAGGGGCGAAAGCCUGAUCCAGCCAUGCCGCGUGGGUGAAGAAGGUCUUCGGAUUGUAAAGCCUUUUUGGUGGGAAAGAAAAGCAGCAGGUUAAUACCCCGUUGUUUUGACGUUACCAAAAGAAUAAGCACCGGCUAACUUCGUG